UUCGACGAGCAAUUCCAAAUACUUUGUUUAUAUUUUGCAACAAUUGCCAAGCAUGCGUAGAACUCACGUUGGAAAUCCAACGCACUAUCUGCCGUUAGCCAAUCACAGGCCUGAAUCAAUUCGAUUUCUCCAGAGCUAUGCCCACCCUUAACCUGCGAACGGGCAUGCUCGGGGAACGAGAUUGCCUUAUGUGCGGCUUUAAGAAUAUGCCAGUCCCUUCGUUCUCGCAUGGGUAACCAACCCAAUUUUAAAAUCGAUUCAAUACUAUUUACGUAACGUCCAGUCACAAAACUAGCAGCUGAGUACUGUAUUCGCUGUAGUCUAUUGAGUAGAUGUUCGGUUAGUGGAUAGAAUACUAUGUCACUAAAGUCUAAACGAGAGAUAAUUAAGCUUUCAGCCAGAUGUAAAGCUCUUAAUUUUUCUGAGAUUUGCUAGGGUGCCAUAGCACGUCGAGUCAAGAUGUUUCACAUGGGCGUCCCAUUUUAGAUUCUCUAGAUUACGGGCGCGUGCAUUUUCGUUCCCAGUUCCCGCGAUCAUUAAUAUUACACCUAGGCCUUCAAUUCUCGUGAUUAACUUUUACAAAUACCGUAUUUAUAUUUACGAUAAAAUUACUAAAAAUCUGGAAAACAAAUUUCAAUACAUCAAAUCUCACCUUGUAUAAUCCAAAAAACGUCCUCUUCUUUUUCUUUGCGACUGCGAGCAUGUGCAUUCUUUAAGUUUUAUGCGGAAGUUAAUUUGCGAUAUACGACGGACGAUCGACACAAUUAAGAGUCGAUUUGACAGAAGGGUCGAUUUGACAGAAUUAAGACUGUCGAUUUGACGGAAGGGUCGAUUUCACACAAUAUUAAUAGUCGAUUUGACACAAUUAAGAGUCGAUUUGACAGAAGAGUCGAAUUGACACAUUUACGAGUCGAUUUGACAGAAGGGUUGAUUUGACACAUUUAAGAGUCGAUUUGACAAAAGGGUCAAUUUGACACAAUUAAGAGUCGAUUUGACAGAAGGGUCGAUUUGACACAUUUAAGAGUCGAUUUGAUAGAAGGGUCGAUUUGACACAAUUAAGAGUCGAUUUGACAGAAGGGUCGUUUCGACAAAAGGGUCGAUUUCAUUCCAGGGUCGAUUUGACCUAUGCGAGAGUCGUUCCGCAAUGGAGAGCCGAAACGGAGCUCAUAGGGGCCAAAGUGUUGAUCAAAAGCGGCCCCUUUAUGUGGGGCCAAAACAAACCCGGACGUGAGAGUCGUUUUGGUCUGUGGGGCCAUAUUGGCAAUUGAUGGGGCUAAAUUGGAAAAUGAUGGGUCCGUUACGGCAAAGGGUAGGGCCAAUUUGGCUUUCCUCCAUACCUAAAAUGGCUCCGUCGGUGCAGAUCCAGGCUCUCCAAUGCCAAAAUGGCUUUCACAUAGGGCCAAAACAGCUUUGGCCCCAAAAGGGCUGAAACGGAAUUUGGGGUCGAUUUGGCCCUUUUUAAUUUACAGUGAAAACCCCCCGCAAAACCAUUGAAAUAACGUAUUGUUAAAAUUUGAAUGCCCUAGCACUAAGCUGAACGCAAAGAUGCGUAAAAUAUUGGCAAGGGUGCAUAAAUUAAAUAUUGACUUAUUAAGAAAUUAAAAUAUCUUUGUAAAGCGCACGAUUUUCUGCUCUUGGGAAUUUAAAGCAGCUUCCCAAACGGUUCUUUAUGCAUACAAUUUACUUAUGUCAAGCUUUGACGCACGCGUGGUCCAGCAGAGUGCUGAAGCAUUCAAAUUCUAACAAUACGUUAUUUCUUUUUUUUUUUGGGACACCUUGUAUUAUUUGCUACGAAUAUAUAGUCAAGAAUAGACAAUUCCAGCGCUAUCGAAUAAUUUUUUAUCUGGACAAGAAAGACGAAAUAUAUCAUCAUAGCUCAAAAGAUCAUCCUAAAAUUAGUAAAAUUGCUAUAUUUUACAGGGCUCUAUUUUCCAUAUUUUACAACAUUUCUAAACCAAACUAUGCAAUUUUACUAAUUUUAGGAUGCUCGUUUGAGCUUUAAUGAUAUAUUUCGUCUUUCUUGUCUAGAUAAAAAAUUAGCCGAUAGCUGGAAUUGUCUAAUGCUUGUAUCUUGCUUCUAAAGUCAAACAUGAAAAAUCGAAUGACGACGACGACGACAACGACGACAACGACGACAGCGACAACGACAACGACGACGACGACGACAACGACGACGACGAC
rnacentral:lncRNA from 1 species